CAACCUCUAUAGGCUGGCCUGCCCGGAGGCUGCACUGGGCGAGUUUCUCUUUGAAAGGCUCACUCUCAAGCACAACUAAGAGU
rnacentral:pre_miRNA from 1 species